GGCGCGUUCCUCUAAAUGGUUAGGAGAUCGGAUUCUCAAUCCGAAGAUAGCAGUUCGAUCCUGCUACGCGCUA
rnacentral:tRNA from 1 species